rnacentral:rRNA from 1 species
GAUCAUGGCUCAGGAUGAACGCUGGCGGCGUGCAUAACACAUUCAAGUCGAACGGGGCAGCAAUGCCUAGUGGCGGACGGGUGAGUAACGCGUGAGCAACCUGCCCUUGCGUGGGGGAUACCAUCUGGAAACGGAUGUUAAUACCGCAUAAAGUACAAGCGACCGCAUGGUCGUAGUACCAAAGAUUUAUUGCGCAAGGAUGGGCUCGCGUCCCAUUAGAUAGUUGGUGAGGUAACGG